rnacentral:rRNA from 1 species
CCUACGGGUGGCAGCAGUGAGGAAUAUUGGUCAAUGGGCGGAAGCCUGAACCAGCCAAGUAGCGUGCAGGAUGACGGCCCUACGGGUUGUAAACUGCUUUUAUACGGGAAUAACGCGCCUUACGUGUAGGACUUUGCAUGUACCGUAUGAAUAAGGACCGGCUAAUUCCGUGCCAGCAGCCGCGGUAAUACGGAAGGUCCGGGCGUUAUCCGGAUUUAUUGGGUUUAAAGGGAGCGUAGGCCGCAUGUCAAGCGUGCUGUGAAAGGUUCGGGCUCAACCCGGGAAUUGCAGCGCGAACUGGCGGGCUUGAGUCCGGGGAAGGCAGGCGGAAUU